rnacentral:rRNA from 1 species
UACGGAGGGAGCUAGCGUUGUUCGGAAUUACUGGGCGUAAAGCGCACGUAGGCGGCUUUGUAAGUUAGAGGUGAAAGCCCGGGGCUCAACUCCGGAACUGCCUUUAAGACUGCAUCGCUUGAAUCCAGGAGAGGUGAGUGGAAUUCCGAGUGUAGAGGUGAAAUUCGUAGAUAUCGAGAGGAACACCUGUGGCGAAGGCGGCCUUCUGGACGGUGACUGACGCUGAGACGCGAAAGCGUGGGGAGCAAACAGG